AGUGAACGCUGGCGGUAGGCCUAACACAUGCAAGUCGAACGGCCGCACAGUAAGAGCUUGCUCUUACGGGUGGCGAGUGGCGGACGGGUGAGGAAUGCAUCGGAAUCUACUUUUUCGUGGGGGAUAACGUAGGGAAACUUACGCUAAUACCGCAUACGACCUACGGGUGAAAGCAGGGGAUCUUCGGACCUUGCGCGAUUGAAUGAGCCGAUGUCGGAUUAGCCAGUUGGCGGGGUAAAGGCCCACCAAGGCGACGAUCCGUAGCUGGUCUGAGAGGAUGAUCAGCCACACUGGAACUGAGACACGGUCCAGACUCCUACGGGAGGCAGCAGUGGGGAAUAUUGGACAAUGGGCGCAAGCCUGAUCCAGCCAUACCGCGUGGGUGAAGAAGGCCUUCGGGUUGUAAAGCCCUUUUGUUGGGAAAGAAAAGCAGCAGGUUAAUACCCCGCUGUUCUGACGGUACCCAAAGAAUAAGCACCGGCUAACUUCGUG
rnacentral:rRNA from 1 species